rnacentral:rRNA from 1 species
UUUUAUGGAGAGUUUGAUCCUGGCUCAGGAUGAACGCUGGCGGCGUGCCUAAUACAUGCAAGUCGAGCGAACAGACGAGGAGCUUGCUCCUCUGACGUUAGCGGCGGACGGGUGAGUAACACGUGGAUAACCUACCUAUAAGACUGGGAUAACUUCGGGAAACCGGAGCUAAUACCGGAUAAUAUAUUGAACCGCAUGGUUCAAUAGUGAAAGACGGUUUUGCUGUCACUUAUAGAUGGAUCCGCGCCGCAUUAGCUAGUUGGUAAGGUAACGGCUUACCAAGGCAACGAUGCGUAGCCGACCUGAGAGGGUGAUCGGCCACACUGGAACUGAGACACGGUCCAGACUCCUACGGGAGGCAGCAGUAGGGAAUCGUUCC